AUGCGCGGGGCUGGGCAUCACUGCCCUAACCAGGAAAGCAGAAAUCAAAGCAACCAUCUUACCAGCAAGGAUCCACUAUCAUCUGUGCCAGUACAAUGCCUUUGUGUGAGAUUUGGAAGGCAGAAGUCAAAUGAAGGCAUCCUUGCUCCAGCAGGAGCAGUAGCCGACGACAGACCACUCACAGGUAAAUAUGAGCCUUUGCUGGGGCCAGGAGACUGGGCCUUCCCCGCCAGCCACUCACCCCAGGACGCUGUUUCUUGAUCUCAGGGUGGUAGUAGCAACUUCCUGAUGCUCACAGCUUCGCAGCUACACAGGCAAACUGGAAAGCAGCGGUGCUUCUCUCGCCUUCUGUUCUCCCAAUCUCUCCUGUGGGUUUUAACUACCUAAUUCCCAGUAUUAACUGCCCAUUUGCUUUAAAUAUUGGUUUCUGUUUUCUGACUGAGGCCCAGGUGAAACAGAUAGGUGCUAGAAAUCCCUAUUUGAUUUUUGCAGAAACCAAGACUCAAAGUGGUCAACAGUAGUGGCAAAUCUGUAACUCAAUCCAAGCUUCCUGAUGACAAAUUUACUUUUAUUUUUUUAACCACAGCUAUAUGUACAUUAAAUAAUUGUUGGGUUUUUUGUUUAUACAAAGUCACACUUGUAUAUCUGAAUUAUGAUAAAAGUCCUCAAAGUCUUCUCAAU
rnacentral:lncRNA from 1 species